AAUCCCACAUGAAUUCAUUGAUUCAAUGACCUCGAUUUACAUAAUUUUGUGAUAGACAAUAGAUUACAAACAGCUAACAAGUACUUCAACGACAAAGAGGGAAAGAAAGCAAACACAACAUGAACAGACUUGACGCGAGCAGAACAACAACAACCGAAUUCUUGAGGACCUGACCAUCAAACAGCGUACUUGUCGGCUAGCUCGUACCAAUGUAAACCACACUACCUAUCGCACAAACGCUGCAUAGUUGUCUCCCUCCAUUGCGCACAUCAAGGGCAGAAAUCCUUGAAGGGAUGAGGGACCAGCCAACUAAGGGGGGUUAAGAGUGAAGAAGCACAUCAAUUGAAACUUGCCAAAGAACAACCAUCUCCCUUGAAAUUGACGACGAGCACCCCAUAAACAUCACAUCCAAGCAUCAUAAAUCGUCAUCCAACUCCCUUAAAGGGAGGACACCUCUAAGUAGAGAGGGCAAGAUCAUAGGUCCACCUGGCAUAAGAAUGAUGUCAUCACCAAUAGGAGACGUAUGACGAAGCAAAGGUGUGACGAAGCAAAGGUUUGAAUGGCCACGCAACAGCCACAUCUAAUAUCGUCUGCAAGGCCAAGGCCAACAAAGAAGACAACAAAUAGGCAACCAUAAGGCGAGCAGGGACGAUAUAGGGCACCUCCCGACGCAUCGGGCGUGACGUUUUCACUGCACAAAUAUCACAUUUGCACAUAUUCCAGAUGACCUCGAGAACCGCCACCCGGCGCAUCGGGCGUGACGUUUUCACUGCACAAAUAUCACAUUUGCACAUAUUCCAGAUGACCUCGAGAACCGCCACUAAGAUCGGCUAGACAGAGGAGACACAGGCAUCCCGACUUUGCCUGCAAUAAGGACUAGAAGUGCCAUCAAGUUGAUGCUUGUAGAAAGCCAAGCAAGGCUUUCGCCCAAACCAACAUGGUUGUUGCUACAUGACCACCCGAACCUAAGGACACAAGGGUCGACGCAGCGGUCUGGGUGGUCGGAGGGCAAGGAUUCGGCGAAACAAUCAUAGAGAUCUUACCGGAGGUCAAGGGAAAAAGAACCUCUAUGGAGAAGACAGGGAACGGAGACAACAACUACAGUGGAGCACCGGUGGCAUAGGUCUAUUGCCGUAGGGAAGAACACAAAAGGUGGAGGGUAGGGGCUAGCAAGGUCUAGGCACAACCAUAAAACCGAAACCGAUGCGCGCAGAAGGUCCCUGCG
rnacentral:lncRNA from 1 species